AUUGAGGUUCAGUUGGACUGUUUAUGACUAUGACUGCCUGGAUGACGAAGGGUUCCACCAUCUCAAAACCAACAACUAAUUGAACUGCGGAAACCCUGAGAUCUGUGUCCACGCCAACACUGUGGAAAGGCGUUGGAAGAUACUGAAGAAGGUGCCACAGUGCGGGAGAAUAACACGCUACUUUGAGGGCUACCUUGCCAAAGCAACCCUCCAGUUACAAUAUCCGGAAGUCACCAAGAGGAUGCACCUGUUCCUCCUGGCUGUGGCCUCAUACUAUCUUCCAGUCCGUCUUAGAUUGAUGAAACGAAGACAGAGAUGAAAAGUCUUGUUGCUGCAUCUCACAUGCCUCUCCACCAUCUGAAGUCAAAAGAGACAUCGGCAUUCCAGGAAGGUAUGAUGCCCAUAAAAUCCAUCAGAUGUUGGCCAUUAGCAUUGAUGUAUGGAGAGUCUGCAGAUGGAGGAAUUGCAAAUGAAAUUCAAGUUGUCAUUGUUGCGUAGGAAAGGUAUAUUGGAGAAAGUAAAGCAGAAACCUCAGGCAUGUUAACCCUGUCACGACGGGGGCAUUCCAGCCUUGCAUGUUACAAUGCCAGGGCUCUCGAACGCAUAGGCCUAAGUCAUUUAAAUAAACGACGCCGUAUGACGUCACCCAGCGAACGGGCCUUAAAUGCGCGGUACCGUAGUGUACCACCCGUCCAGAGAGGGUUAAGAGGGUUUUACUUGACAUAUUUCCAUUGAAUCAUUGUGACAAUUAGGGGAGGAGUUUGUUGCAAUGCAUCAGUUACAUCUCUUGCACUGUGAAGUUUUUCUGUCUCAUUUAUACCAUUUUCUGCAUUUGUUACAAUGUUCUUUCCAAGACUACAAGAACAGCUAAGGAAACUUUCUAAGAAAAAUAAAUCAUGGUUCCUUAAGCUCUUGAAAUCAUUGCAAUUUUUGUACACAAAAACCAUGCCUCAUCUUCAUUAAUGUUCCUUUUUCUUGAUUGUUCAUUGUGACCAAAAAUAUGACAAAAAGUUG
rnacentral:lncRNA from 1 species